GUCUUCCUCUCGUUUCUUUUUCAGACGCGAGUUGGUGGACUUGUCGGUAGGAGACAGUCAGAACAGAGACAGAACAGAGCAGAGCGUGUGAAGAAAGAAAGGUUGCCUUCAUGUUUCUGCCUGGUGAAAAACUGUCUGGGGGCUGCAGCCAAUUCCAGCUGACAUCCCGAUCCCAAGGCUGAGUACUGCAAAGCACAAAAGGCAAAUUCAGAAUUUGGAAGAUAUUUUGAUUUCUUAGUAAACAGACUUUGUGCACUGUGUGGCGGUGGGGGAGAAAUUUUAAUCAGAAGAGAAAAAUCUUCUUUGAUUGAGGCUCAACUCUCACUGUUUUAAUGACUGAAAAACACAAAGGACAGCACAGUUUCAGUUUUGUUCAUAUUUGAUGGACCGUGACACCUUUUUAGCAUCAAACUGUGUUUUAGUAUCCUCUACAGAGAGCAUUCAUGGAUCUCGUGAAAAUCAAAAACGUCUCUCCACCAAGAAAAAUCUUUAUCGUUCUUUGUUGUUUUUUCUCACACCGAAACAAACUCACCAGACACAGCUGAUGUCAGCAGUGUUUACAUUAAACUCUUCAGGAGCAGCCAUUUUUGUUUUAAAAUGAACAGUCGCUUCUCUCGCUGCCAGUGGUUCCUCAAAAGAUGCUGAUUGGUUCAAUGCCAUUGUGGUAAGAAACAAGGGGAUAUAGCUUGAAGCCUGACAUGAUGAAUCUACAAAAUGACAUGACCACAUGAUCAAGGUAUUGGAAAUAUUUCCAAUAAAUGAAGAUAGUUAUUUGUGGUUCUUUUGCUCCCAUACAAUCCGGCUGACACAUUGUAACUCAGUGGUGAAUCGGGAAACAAACAAAAUAUAGAAAUUGAUGGUAGACUUGGGUUUUGUCUGUUGUCUGUCUUCACUCAGAUAUGAAACGGCAGUGGUGUUGUGAUAUAUCAGAUCAGUCUGAUCUGAUCUGCCACAGAGUCCAAUCAAUAACUGAGGGGGUGGACAGAACAGAGACUGACAGAACAGAGAAUUAGUAUGAUGGCAACCUGGAUGCGAGAGGACGCUGGCACGAAUAUCGCAGCUUCUCAAUCCGUAGCAAAUCUGCUUUUUGUUGGAGAAAGAAAGCCACGUUGUCUCUACAGGCUCUUGGGCUGCACUGAUCAGCUGUUGGCCCGGCGAUCAGCUAUUGGCCUAGCAACACUAACUUUCAAACCGACGUACUCAAUACUCUGUGAGCUGUCCAUCGUUGCUCCGUUGGUCCUGCCUCCACCACAACCUCAGGCUUAUUCACCGCCUAGUUACACAUGCAGAUACAAACUUUU